AUAAUUAUUUUUGUAAUUGUUGUGAAAACCAGAAUAUUUGAGUGUUUUACAGAAGGACUCGGUACACCCAGCUUGAAACUGGGACAAUCCCGGGAUGUCUGGUCACCAUAUAAUGAGCUGUUUGUAUCUACAGAGGGAGCGGUUCCUCUUCUAUGGAGUCCACCAUGUUGAACCACCAUGUUUCUACAGUAGCCCGGAACGGACAAAACAAACUCAUGGUCACCGUAGUUUCUCUUAUACGCUGGGGAGGCUAAGCAGUAUUCAGUUGGUUGCAAUCUGCCAGUUCACCACUAGUUGCCACUAAAUCUUAUAGGUCCUUUAAGUCAUAGGCUUCAUGUUCCCAUUGCACUUUGUCACAUUCUGUUUCCAUACAGCACCUUUUCCAUGCAGCUCAUCCAAGCGUAAAAACCUGUUCGCAUUAUUUUAACUUUUCUUUUUUCUUUGGCCUUGACAGCCUUGGCACAAACUUAAAUGCAAAUGAAAACAGGUGGAUGGAAGCGCACUUAUAGAUUCUCAAAUGUGGAGCUCUUCAUGAGGGAUGAAGAGCAUUCUUCCAAAAGAUAUUCCAAUAUUUGAUGCUUUGCUGAUUUUGGUGGAGAGCGCUGUCUAACAUGUCGCUGUAGGUGUUGAAUUGGAUUGACACCUGGCGACUGUGAAGACUAUGGCAUAUGAUUCGCAUUAUUGUCACACUCAUCAAACCAUUCAGUGACCCGUGGUCCCUCUGUAUGGGAGCAUCUGCAUUUCUACAAGUUUUUCGUUUAUCAUAGAUCACACAGACAAUAUGAACUGAGUUGACGAUUAGGUAGGUGAGUUUGUGAUCAUCCCCUCUUUGUAAUACAUCACCAGAGAGCACUUUUCUGCCAAAUCAAAUUAAAAGCAAAAACACUGUUAUCCUCUGCAGUUAUUUUUUUAUAGAGAAUAAAUACUCGUCUGAGUUUGAUAUUGUACUGUGUUAAAAGUGUUGUCCUUGCUGGGUAACCUCUCUGAUAUUUCUGCCAGUUUUUUUUUUAUGUUUUCCAGACUAUAUGGUCAUCUGGGCUCUGGCAACCAUCUGAAAAAGGCAAAAAAAAUCGAUAGCGCUUCUCUCUUAAUCAAGUGCUCGGAGCUUAUGGCAGAACGCCAUGAGAGAAAAGCAGCAAUUGACUUUGGGUGUGUGAAGGUGAAGCUGGGAACAGAGGAGGAAAAGAGUCAUCCUGCACCGGUUCACCUGCUGCAUCAGAGACACUGGUAGAGAAAACAGAUUUCCUAUUGUUGACAACUGUUAAAUACACAGUUACCAACAACACCAACAGCUUAUGGGUCAUGGACAUUUUUAUUCAUUUGCAGUUACAUAAUCCUCCCCUCCCUCCUAUCUGACAAGUGAUUAGUGUGUGAGGAGUUUUUUAACCAGGACAGAUGGCAUUUUAAUUGCAGUACCUGACUGCCAGGAACAAACGAGGCAGUGCUGGUUAGUGGUUAUCCAUUGUUACUUUGUUAAUAUGCACUUUCUCCGAGAAUAAAAAUAAAUAUCUGAUCAGUUUAACUCCUUAGAUCCUUAAAAUGGUGAAAAUGUUUUGCCUUCUUCUAUCAUGUACUGUUUUUAUCAUGCUCCUGGCUUACACACAGUAUGUGUAUUAUGUGAGGGGUAUUUGAGUUAAAGUGAGUGAAGGUAAUGAUAUUUGCUUCGAAGCAUGUAUUUCAGUGUCUUGUCAAUCACCCGGAAGCACCUGGAAAUCAUCCAUAAAUAAUAGCCUAAUUUGACUUAUGAUCUAUUGAUCCAUGAUAAUUUAGAUCCAGAAAAAUUGAAAUGCACUACAAAAUAGCACAUUGUGUCUAUUUUAGAAAUAAAGCCAGAAAAAAAAAGCCAGAAACCGUCUGGUUCCUCUGUAGUUUAAUGCUCUCUAACCAUCAUAUUCUUGCCCAGUAAUUCCCUUAUUCUAAAGCUCUUUCACGCACAUUUACCUUUAAAGGUCUGUGGGAAAAUACAUUUUUGACUUCAUCCUUGAUGACUGGAAUGUAAUAUUUACCACAGGCAAUAUAAUACCAGACUCCACUGCACUUGGACCCUUGGGCAAAAAGGAGCUGUUGGCCCUUAUUAACUCCCUGUUUCUCUCACUGUGUAAUGUGUACAUCUAUGCUGGAAUACCUGGACUUUGCUGUGUGGUGAUUUUAUUGAACAUCUUAAUUCAGGGAUAUAUACCAUAAAUAAACACAACACAAGUUUAUGAAAUGUCUUUGAAAAAUUUGUAUUAAAAAGCUUAGAAAAACCUGACCUAAACAUGACCUGAGACUAGCUAACACACUCUCAACUUGUCAAAUACUGCUGUUGAUCUGUGGCCCUCUGCUAAAAAAUAUGAUACUGUAGGUGCACCUUAGUGCCAUUGAUGGACUCGCAGUCCAUAAGUUAGGUUUAGUCACCAAAACUACUUGGUUAUGUUUUUGGAAAAUAUCAUAACGUAAGAUCAUAAGUCAACUUCCUUCCUUUUGGUUUCAAACAGGGCACGAACAGCCGUCUCCGGUUGAAAGUCCGAUGUCUGAUUCGUCCAUCUUCCACACCUUCAUAUGCAGACUGUCGGGCUCUUUAUGUCUGGUGGGUGCUAAGGGGAGUGGGAGACCAGCUGACUUAGCAAGCAAAUGUUUUCAUCAAGAGUUGGUGGAGAUAAAUGGAGAGUGAAUAUUGGA